rnacentral:rRNA from 1 species
UAGGGAAUCUUCGGCAAUGGGGGCAACCCUGACCGAGCAACGCCGCGUGAGUGAAGAAGGUUUUCGGAUCGUAAAGCUCUGUUGUAAGAGAAGAACGUGUGUGAGAGUGGAAAGUUCACACAGUGACGGUAACUUACCAGAAAGGGACGGCUAACUACGUGCCAGCAGCCGCGGUAAUACGUAGGUCCCGAGCGUUGUCCGGAUUUAUUGGGCGUAAAGCGAGCGCAGGCGGUUUAAUAAGUCUGAAGUUAAAGGCAGUGGCUUAACCAUUGUUCGCUUUGGAUACUGUUAAACUUGCGUGCAGAAGGGGGGAGUGGAAUUCCAUGUGUAGCGGUGAAAUGCGUAGAUAUAUGGAGGAACGACGGUGGCGAACGCGGCUCUCUGGUCUGUAACUGACGCUGAGGCUCGAAAGCGUGGGGAGCAAACAGG